GUGCAUCGUUUCUGCCUGUUGGUCUUCGAGAGAUUAGUUUUUCGUCUCUUCUUGUUCGUUUCGGUUUCUUCUUUCGCGCAUGUAUGUUGCUGCUGGUUUCUGGCGAGGGCUCUGCACGAGAGCUUAGUUUUUUCGUUUUUUCGUUUCGUUUCAUGAGCAUGGCUUGAUUUCUGCUUGGUUUUUUUAAAAUGUAUGUAAUAUAGCGUUUCAGUGUUGCUUUGCGUGUGCGUGAGGUUUCUAGUGUUGUUUUUCUAUGUGAGGAUUUAUAAGUUCGUAGGAGGAAGAAGACGCCAGGCAUAAACGGAUGUCGACAUCUGUUUUAUCUUAAACGGAUGUUAACAUCCGUUGAAUGAUGAUCAACUCCGUUUAAGGGUUUAGGCUAUUUUUAACAGUGAAUUACUUACUUCUCCGCUGCUCACGUUUCUCCUUCAAUCACC
rnacentral:lncRNA from 1 species